UACGAAGGGGGCUAGCGUUGUUCGGAAUCACUGGGCGUAAAGCGCACGUAGGCGGUUCUUUAAGUCAGGGGUGAAAUCCCGAGGCUCAACCUCGGAACUGCCUUUGAUACUGGGGAUCUCGAGUCCGGGAGAGGUGAGUGGAACUGCGAGUGUAGAGGUGAAAUUCGUAGAUAUUCGCAAGAACACCAGUGGCGAAGGCGGCUUUCUGGGCAUUUCCUGACGCUGAGACGCGAAAGCGUGGGGAGCGAACGGG
rnacentral:rRNA from 1 species